rnacentral:rRNA from 1 species
GCCUGAUCCAGCAAUGCCGCGUGUGUGAAGAAGGCCUUCGGGUUGUAAAGCACUUUUGUCCGGAAAGAAAUCCUUGGCUCUAAUACAGUCGGGGGAUGACGGUACCGGAAGAAUAAGCACCGGCUAACUACGUGCCAGCAGCCGCGGUAAUACGUAGGGUGCAAGCGUUAAUCGGAAUUACUGGGCGUAAAGCGUGCGCAGGCGGUUUGCUAAGACCGAUGUGAAAUCCCCGGGCUCAACCUGGGAACUGCAUUGGUGACUGGCAGGCUAGAGUAUGGCAGAGGGGGGUAGAAUUCCACGUGUAGCAGUGAAAUGCGUAGAGAUGUGGAGGAAUACCGAUGGCGAAGGCAGCCCCCUGGGCCAAUACUGACGCUCAUGCACGAAAGCGUGGGGAGCAAACAGGAUUAGAUACCCUGGUAGUCCACGCCCUAAACGAUGUCAACUAGUUGUUGGGGAUUCAUUUCCUUAGUAACGUAGCUAACGCGUGAAGUUGACCGCCUGGGGAGUACGGUCGCAAGAUUAAAACUCAAAGGAAUUGACGGGGACCCGCACAAGCGGUGGAUGAUGUGGAUUAAUUCGAUGCAACGCGAAAAACCUUACCUACCCUUGACAUGGUCGGAAUCCUGCUGAGAGGUGGGAGUGCUCGAAAGAGAACCGGCGCACAGGUGCUGCAUGGCUGUCGUCAGCUCGUGUCGUGAGA